rnacentral:rRNA from 1 species
AUGGCCACCACUUUCUGUGUCGCGUGCGUGCAGACCCAUGGGGUUGACAUGUACCUCAACGGCCACGACCACUGCCUGCAGCGCAUCAGCAGCGUCGACAGCCCGGUGGAGUUCGUGACGAGCGGCGGCGGGUCCAAGGCGUGGGCGGGCAAGUUCAAGGCCACCUCCGACAAGAUGGAGUUCCUGUACGACGGUCAGGGCUUCCUGUCCAUGUAGCUCACCGCGGCCGAGGCGCGCCUCACCUUUUACGACGUCUCCGGCGCCGUACUGCACAGCUGGGGGCUCGCCAAGUCGGCGCCCGCCAGCAUCUCGACCGUGAGCUAG